rnacentral:rRNA from 1 species
GAUGAACGCUGGCGGCGUGCCUAAUACAUGCAAGUCGAGCGAACAGACGAGGAGCUUGCUCCUCUGACGUUAGCGGCGGACGGGUGAGUAACACGUGGAUAACCUACCUAUAAGACUGGGAUAACUUCGGGAAACCGGAGCUAAUACCGGAUAAUAUAUUGAACCGCAUGGUUCAAUAGUGAAAGACGGUUUUGCUGUCACUUAUAGAUGGAUCCGCGCCGCAUUAGCUAGUUGGUAAGGUAACGGCUUACCAAGGCAACGAUGCGUAGCCGACCUGAGAGGGGAUUCGCCAACACGGAACUUGGACCACGGCCCAGACCCUAACGGGAGCAACAGGAAGGAAAUCUUCGCAAAGGGGGGAAGGCCUAACGAGCAAAGGCCGGGGGAGGAAUGAAGGUCUCCGAACCGAAAAACUUGGUAAUAGGGAAGAAAAAAAGGGGAAGGAACCAAGGAACGUCUGAAGGUAACCAAUCAAAAAAGCAAGGCUAAAUUAGGG